AGAGUUUGAUCCUGGCUCAGGAUGAACGCUGGCGGCGUGCUUAACACAUGCAAGUCGAACGAUGACCCGGUGCUUGCACCGGUGAUUAGUGGCGAACGGGUGAGUAACACGUGAGUAACCUGCCCUUAACUCUGGGAUAAGCCUGGGAAACUGGGUCUAAUACCGGAUAUGACUCCUCAUCGCAUGGUGGGGGGUGGAAAGCUUUAUUGUGGUUUUGGAUGGACUCGCGGCCUAUCAGCUUGUUGGUGAGGUAAUGGCUCACCAAGGCGACGACGGGUAGCCGGCCUGAGAGGGUGACCGGCCACACUGGGACUGAGACACGGCCCAGACUCCUACGGGAGGCAGCAGUGGGGAAUAUUGCACAAUGGGCGCAAGCCUGAUGCAGCGACGCCGCGUGAGGGAUGACGGCCUUCGGGUUGUAAACCUCUUUCAGUAGGGAAGAAGCGAAAGUGACGGUACCUGCAGAAGAAGCGCCGGCUAACUACGUGCCAGCAGCCGCGGUAAUACGUAGGGCGCAAGCGUUAUCCGGAAUUAUUGGGCGUAAAGAGCUCGUAGGCGGUUUGUCGCGUCUGCCGUGAAAGUCCGGGGCUCAACUCCGGAUCUGCGGUGGGUACGGGCAGACUAGAGUGAUGUAGGGGAGACUGGAAUUCCUGGUGUAGCGGUGAAAUGCGCAGAUAUCAGGAGGAACACCGAUGGCGAAGGCAGGUCUCUGGGCAUUAACUGACGCUGAGGAGCGAAAGCAUGGGGAGCGAACAGGAUUAGAUACCCUGGUAGUCCAUGCCGUAAACGUUGGGCACUAGGUGUGGGGGACAUUCCACGUUUUCCGCGCCGUAGCUAACGCAUUAAGUGCCCCGCCUGGGGAGUACGGCCGCAAGGCUAAAACUCAAAGGAAUUGACGG
rnacentral:rRNA from 5 species